GACGAACGCUGGCGGCGUGCUUAACACAUGCAGGUCGAACGGAAAGGCCCUGCUUUUGUGGGGUGCUCGAGUGGCGAACGGGUGAGUAACACGUGAGUAACCUGCCCUUGACUUUGGGAUAACUUCAGGAAACUGGGGCUAAUACCGGAUAGGAGCUCCUGCUGCAUGGUGUGGUUUGGAAAGUUUCGGCGGUUGGGGAUGGACUCGCGGCUUAUCAGCUUGUUGGUGGGGUAGUGGCUUACCAAGGCUUUGACGGGUAGCCGGCCUGAGAGGGUGACCGGCAACAUUGGGACUGAGAUACGGCCCAGAAUCCUACGGGAGGCAGCAGUGGGGAAUAUUGCACAAUGGGAGGAAGCCUGAUGCAGCAACGCCGCGUGCGGGAUGACGGCCUUCGGGUUGUAAACCGAUUUCGCCUGUGACGAAGCGUGAGUGACGGUAAUGGGUAAAGAAGCACCGGCUAACUACGUG
rnacentral:rRNA from 1 species